AGAGUUUGAUCAUGGCUCAGGAUGAACGCUGGCGGCGUGCCUAAUACAUGCAAGUCGAGCGGUAAGGUUUCCACUCUGUUUUCAACCUCGGUUGAAAGUAGGGUGGAAAUACACGAGCGGCGGACGGCUGAGUAACACGUAGGAACGUACCCCAAACUGAGGGAUAAGCACCAGAAAUGGUGUCUAAUACCGCAUGUGCU
rnacentral:rRNA from 1 species